AUUGAACGCUGGCGGCAUGCCUUACACAUGCAAGUCGAACGGCAGCGGACCUUCGGGUGCCGGCGAGUGGCGAACGGGUGAGUAAUAUAUCGGAACGUACCUUUCAGUGGGGGAUAACGUAGCGAAAGUUACGCUAAUACCGCAUACGCACUGAGGUGGAAAGCAGGGGAUCGCAAGACCUUGCGCUAUACGAGCGGCCGAUGUCAGAUUAGCUAGUUGGUAGGGUAAAGGCCUACCAAGGCGACGAUCUGUAGCGGGUCUGAGAGGAUGAUCCGCCACACUGGGACUGAGACACGGCCCAGACUCCUACGGGAGGCAGCAGUGGGGAAUUUUUGGACAAUGGGCGAAAGCCUGAUCCAGCCAUGCCGCGUGAGUGAAGAAGGCCUUCGGGUUGUAAAGCUCUUUCGGCUGGGAAGAAAUCGCACAGGCUAAUACUCUGUGUGGAUGACGGUACCAGCACAAGAAGCACCGGCUAACUACGUG
rnacentral:rRNA from 1 species